rnacentral:lncRNA from 10 species
UUUUUUAAAAAAAUUUAAGUUCCAGGGUACAUGUGCAGGAUGUGCAGGUUUGUUACAUAGGUAAACCUGUGCCAUGGUGGUUUGCUGCACCUAUCAACCCAUCGCCUAGGUAUUAAGCCCAACAUCCAUUAGCUAUUCUUCCUGAUGCUCUCCCUCCCCCAACCCCACUCCUCACAAGCCCCAGUGUGUGUUGUUUCCCUCCCUGUGUCCAUGUGUUCUCAUUGUUCAGCUCCCACUUACAAGUGACACCAUGCGGUAUUUGGUUUUCUGUUCCUGUGUUAGUUUGCUGAGGAUAAUAGCUUCCAGCUCAAAACUCUUGACAGUUCUCCCCCUCUCCCUCUGCCUCCUGCCCAACCCUGGGGCUUUCCCAGGUAACUCCCUGUGGCAUGUGGAGUCCCCAUGGAUCUGUGAGUAACAAACCAUCUUUGCAAUAGCAGUCAUUUCCUCAUCUUGGCCUUACCAUACCACAAUAAGAAUAAAACCUGUUAAAACAGAGAGAACAGAGGGAGAAAGGAAGGAGAAAAGGAAAAUGAAUGAAGAAGGAAUAAAGAAUGAGUAAUUAAAUGAACAAAUGAUAAGUUACUUAAAAUCUGCUUUUUCUUAGGAGGAGAAAGAACUAACAGAGAUGCAGAAGUCCUCUUCUACUCGGGCUGGGGAUAUGCAUGAGAAAGACACGCGUGGAUGCCGUAUGAGCUCUCGUUCUGAAUGCGGAAAUCUGACCUCCCACCGGAUACUCAGUUCAGGGGGCUCCUGGACCCUCCAGCUGCUCCUCUACUCAUCGCUCCCUCACUCAGAAAACCAGCAGAGAAGUGAACUUCCUCAAAUGACUGACGGUAAAUAUCCAGCAUGGAGCUGGAUUACAAAACUGUAUAAACUGUAAAUAGCAUCACGCUAUUCCCUUUUAAAGAAGUGUCAGUGCUUUUAUUCAUUAAGAUUCAGAUGCUAUGGAGGGGGCAGAUGCGCCUUCUCCCCUCCUGGAUCCCAAAUAAAACACCCCGUAUGGAAGCAGAUGGCUUUGUGUAAAUCAGAUGACAGUUUACGGAGUGAGACGGCCUCAUCGGAACGGCAUUACAAGUAUCAUCUUUUGAGGGGAAAUGGGGUUAAUCAAGUCCAGCUUUAAUUGGAGGUCACAUUUGCAUGUGAAAUUCUGGGUCCCUGUAAGGACUGCCUGGGUCCCUGGGUCAUCAGGCCAGUAACCUCUCCACCAUUUUCUUUCCAGAGGGAGCCCCAGGUAAUGCAUGAGAAAGGAAGUGUUAUAAGAAGCCAAGAAUGGGUGCCCCCCACCCCCCAACCAAGAGCCAGUUCUGUUAACACAGCAGAGAGCCCUCCCCAGGUCUCAAAGUCUCCCUGCCUUUGCUGCCACAGGUAAGAGGGGGUGGUUUUGCUCACUGCAAACCACAUAACAGAAACAACACCUGCUUGGGCACUUAACCCUGGAACGGGAAAGCUGAAAGUGGUUUCUGUUUAUUUUGAUCUCGAGCGUAAAAUGAAGAGCAAUCAUGUCCCUGGAGUCUCGGCAGAGGACAAACAAAGCUGAUGGAGGAAGACAAAGUCUGCUUUUUCAGGAUGCUUCAUGGGAGGCUGGGGUGUUAAGCGCUCCUCAGCCUGCCUGUGUGAUCUGAGAAACGGGGCGGGGGCAGGUGGGGCGGGGGCAGUGGCAUCAGGUGCCUGCCUCCCGCCGAGGGUAUUCACCAUUCAAAGCACAGGCGCGAAGAGCAAACAGCUACCAGACAGAAUCCUUUAGGUCUAGGCUAUUCCUUUCCUUUGAACCAGAGACAGGAACAGAACACCUUAGCCCAGCCUCCCUGCAACAUUCCAACACUUGAAUUGUAGGAUGGGAGUCCCAAUUUCCCAGACAUCAGGGCAAUAUUCUCCCAUUUCCUUACAACACUGGGUCAAUGUAAAGGUUAAAAAUUUAAAUAAAUAUAAAUAAAUAGGAGAUCAACAUCCUCCUUUCUUGGGAAAAUUCAGACAAUGCUACACAAAAGUUUGGAAGACGAGAUAUCUAAAGAUCACCCAGAAAAAAGAUAUAGGAGCAUGCUGUUUUCAUUAGGUUUCUUCAAAAAUCAGUGGUAUGAUUUCACAGUAUUUUGUUUCAUGGAAUAUAUUCACGAUAUUUGUUUCAUGGAAUAAAUUCAUGAUAUUUGUUUCAUGGAAUAUACUGGAUAUCUGUUUCAUGGAAUAUAUUCACGAUAUUUGUUUCACACAAUAUAUUCAUGAUAUUUGUUUCAUGGAAUAUAUUCACGAUACUUGUUUCAUGGAAUAUAUUAGGUAUUUGUUUCACUGAAUAUAUUGACUGUUACUCAGAAUCCUAACAUGCAAUGUCUUUCUUCAAAAGACAGUGUCAUGCAUUCCUUACAGUGGAUUUAUCAAUUAAUGCUGAGUCCCCAGCCAAGUGAUAAGUCAUACCAUCUCUCUUACUCCUUUUUUCUUAAUCCUUAAAAAAAAAAUUAGGUCCGCCCUCAGCCUUUAUAUUCCAAUUCUUCAUUCCACACUCCUGACUUUUUCCCAAGUUAUUCAAGGAUGGAAAAGCGUAUCAUCUCCAAGCUAGCUCUUUC